UUGAUGUUAUGCUCCAAGAAGAGAAAGGAAUCUGCCAGCUCUAAAUUAUCCAUGAAUAUCUUCCUAUUUCCUCCUAUGGAACAUGGAAGUAUAGUCUCAUUUCCAUGA
rnacentral:lncRNA from 1 species